rnacentral:rRNA from 1 species
AGUGAACGCUGGCGGUAGGCCUAACACAUGCAAGUCGAACGGCAGCACAGUAAGAGCUUGCUCUUACGGGUGGCGAGUGGCGGACGGGUGAGGAAUACAUCGGAAUCUACUUUUUCGUGGGGGUUAACGUAGGGAAACUUACGCUAAUACAGCAUACGACCUACGGGUGAAAGCAGGGGAUCUUCGGACCUUGCGCGAUUGAAUGAGCGGAUGUCGGAUUAGCUAGUUGGCGGGGUAAAGGCCCACCAAGGCGACGAUCCGUUGCUGGUGUGAGAGAAUGAUCGGCCACCUUGGAACGGGGCCACGGUCAUGACUCCUACGGGAGGCAGCAGUGUGGAAUAUUGGACAAUGGGCGCAAGUCUGAUCCAGCCAUACCGCGUGGGUGAAGAAGGCCUUCGGGUUGUAAAGCCCGUUUGUUGGUAAAGAAACGCAGCAGGUUAAUACCCCGCUGUUCUGACGGUACCCAAAGAAUAAGCACCGGCUAACUUCGUG